rnacentral:rRNA from 1 species
UGCAAGUCGUACGCACUGGCCCAACUGAUUGAUGGUGCUUGCACCUGAUUGACGAUGGAUCACCAGUGAGUGGCGGACGGGUGAGUAACACGUAGGUAACCUGCCCCGGAGCGGGGGAUAACAUUUGGAAACAGAUGCUAAUACCGCAUAACAACAAAAGCCACAUGGCUUUUGUUUGAAAGAUGGCUUUGGCUAUCACUCUGGGAUGGACCUGCGGUGCAUUAGCUAGUUGGUAAGGUAACGGCUUACCAAGGCGAUGAUGCAUAGCCGAGUUGAGAGACUGAUCGGCCACAAUGGAACUGAGACACGGUCCAUACUCCUACGGGAGGCAGCAGUAGGGAAUCUUCCACAAUGGGCGCAAGCCUGAUGGAGCACACCGCGUGAGUGAAGAAGGGUUUCGGCUCGUAAAGCUCUGUUGUUGGAGAAGAACGUGCGUGAGAGUAACUGUUCACGCAGUGACGGUAUCCAACCAGAAAGUCACGGCUAACUACGUGCCAGCGCCGCGGUAAUACGUAGGUGGCAAGCGUUAUCCGGAUUUAUUGGGCGUAAAGCGAGCGCAUGCGGUUGCUUAGGUCUGAUGUGAAAGCCUUCGGCUUAACCGAAAAGUGCAUCGGAAACCGGGCGACUUG